rnacentral:rRNA from 1 species
AUUGAACGCUGGCGGCAUGCCUUACACAUGCAAGUCGAACGGCAGCACGGGAGCAAUCCUGGUGGCGAGUGGCGAACGGGUGAGUAAUAUAUCGGAACGUGCCCAGUCGUGGGGGAUAACGUAGCGAAAGCUACGCUAAUACCGCAUACGAUCUAUGGAUGAAAGCGGGGGAUCGCAAGACCUCGCGCGAUUGGAGCGGCCGAUAUCAGAUUAGGUAGUUGGUGAGGUAAAGGCUCACCAAUCCGACGAUCUGUAGCUGGUCUGAGAGGACGACAAGACACACUGGGACGGAGAGACGGCCCAGACUCCUACGGGAGGCAGCAGUGGGGAAGUGUGGGCAAUGGGCGCAAGCCUGAUCCAGCAAUGCCGCGUGCAGGAUGAAGGCCUUCGGGUUGUAAACUGCUUUUGUACGGAACGAAACGGCGAGCUCUAAUACAGCUUGCUAAUGACGGUACCGUAAGAAUAAGCACCGGCUAACUACGUGCCAGCCGCCGCGGUAA